AGAGAGAGAGAGACGAGAGGAACUGGGCGAGCGCUAAUCUCCGAUCAGUGUCGAGAGCGUAACGCGAUCCGACGCGACGUGAUGUGAUCCAGGCUCGAUAGCACGGGAAUACGACCCUACAGCAGCGUGCGCAUGGCUAUCGAGAAGGGUAAAGCUGUCAAGGGUUUACAAACCAUAGUACAUUAAGUUCGACGUGAAAGGGUCUAUCUGUGGUAUCCACCUAAAUUGAACUUCUCGUUGAAUCGCGGUGAACUCGCGCGCGAGGCUUGUUAAAAUCAUUAAUCGAUGAGACGUUGAAUUGUUCAAAAACGAGAGAAAAGAAGAAGAAGAAGAAGAAGAAGAAGAAGGGCGUAUAUUCUUUUCUUUUUCAUAAAUUAUUUCAAUCGAUAUUUAACUUGAUAUACUUCCCUAAACACUCGGAGAAAUUGUCCAAGUACAAUAAUGGUAAAUGCUCGAGUUACAUCGGUGGAAACAAUCGUUGCACUCGAAAAAAAGAAUGUUUAACGUCGUUACUUACCACCCAUGGUUUUCGCUUUUAGGAAUUCGAAGUUGGCGUACUCAACGAAGCGUCAGAAAGAGUGACGCAUAUCGCGAAACAUUAAAUUUUCUCCCGGGGGUUUCACGAUUCUCCGAGAGCAUCGCGUUUCAAAGUAGCUCGAGUAGACAAAUCGAAAAUAACGAUGCUUCUUUCAUAGCGGCCAACAAAAAGCGAAAGUCUUUAAAUGGAAGGUGCACCCUGCUUUUCAUGCUCGUUUGAUUUGGAAAUAUCUAUUCUCCUUAUACGGUGGUGAAGUAGAAAGAGAAAGAGAGAGAGAGUGGCCGACACUCGACACGAAGAGGCAGUGGUCGUACGCUCGCUUGCGGGCGCGCGCGCGUUUUACGAGGCGACCGUCAAGAGUCGCUCUCGCCAUCCUUGCGUGCAGCCAAGCGCUUGUAAUACAAACUCCAGUGUAGUAUGUAGUACCCACACGAUGCUGUCACAAGUGCUCGCACGUCAUUGUGAUAUUGUGAGUGCUCACAGGAGUGUGAGGAACCAGUUGUCGAGAGCAACAGCUGCUAGACCCGUAACCCAUAUACAUCAUCGCAUGUCAUUGUUCGCUGUGUGCAUUAUUCGAAACAGGUAUGGGUACGCACCUUGGCAUUACGUCACCGGGGGGACAGUAAACGAGGUAAUGGGCAUACGUUACCGUAACUAAGGAAUGGAAGCGCGGAGUUGCUCAAUCGGACACGGUGAUGUUGACACCAUUUCGCGAUUGACCUUUUCCUCCUUAGCGACUCGAAGCGAGUCUCUGGCGAAAGUAGAAAAGUUCGUGUUUUUUUUCACCUAUUCUUUACCAUUCUAUCGCCAUGAUCUUCACUUUUCUUGAACGAACCGAUCUCUAUUAUUCUGUCGUUUGGUCAGACGAAGAAGAUUGUACUAAUUUCUCCGAUUCGGUAUACACAUCUGGAUGAGACGCUCGUUAAGUAGGUAUACUAUGUUAAGUAUACUUGGUAUUCAAGAGCCCACAUCUUCUUUGGCGUGAAAUAUCACCUCGGAGUAGCGUUUAAUCGACCGGUUUCACGGGCUAAUUGUUUCCUCCGGUCCGUUUUUGCGCGACGUGCGGAGAUGGGUAAUUAAUUAUUUACUCGCUGUUCGUCUUUGGAUUGGCGACGAGCGAGAGAGCGAGAAGGAGAGAGAGAAAGAGAGAGAGAGAGAAAGAGAGGGAGGGAGAGAAAGGAAGACGAAUAAAAGGAGACAGGGAGGAGUGAAAAAUAUCGGAUGGACGGUUCGUUAGGUAAAUGCCAAGUUUUUACAAGGGAAGCGUUCAAUCGACGCGCUGAGAAGAUGGCAAGUAUAUUUGUAAGAUAUAAAAUAACAGCUUCUGUCAAGAAUGACGACAUUGACUGGCUGUCGCCAUGACGUAAGAUAAAACGCGUUUCCAUUUCCUUGCACACUGCCAACGACUACGACUACAACGACUAUGACGACGAUGCCGGCGGCAGUAGCCGAGUGCCGCCGUUGCUCGUGCAAUUUCAAUAUGAAAUUGUGAAUAAUGCAUGGCGGGGGAUCUCUCGAGCCGGUACGACGUCGUCACGCAGCUCACAUCCUCCCUGCGAUGUAAAACUGAGAUAGAUGGAACGCGUUGCGACGUGUACCUUCCUUCUCGCCACAGUCAAGAGGUGUUACGAGCCGAUAGUUAUCUUCAUAUCGCGAACCCAAAGGCGAUUGGACGCAUUCCGCCUCAGACGAGGGGGCAAGAUGCUGAGAUCUAAGGUAAGCAGGUAACAGAGUUCGUGAGUGGGAUACUAGCUCGUAAAGUAAAGUGGGUAUCUACGUAACCAAGAUACGUUCCAUCUAAUAUAAAUGUAGAGUCGUUGCGAUAAAAUGAAAUAUGUCUCCUUUCCUACGAUCAAAUCACGUUUAAUAUUCUUUUAUCAGAUAUGAAUGUUUCUGAUUCAAUAAUGGGAAUCAGAACAUUGUGUUUUGUUGGUUCAUCCUUGGAAGAUUAAAAGAAAUCGAUCGAUUGAGUCUUCAGUAGUUUUGAUAUUAAGUUAGCCACGUGAUGAAAGAAGAACGUUUGAUGGAAGAAAGGAACGCAAAGAGGUCACGUCCUUAAACCUAUAAUCACUCAAUCCUGUACGACGGCCAUAAUAGAUGCCUUUCCAGUAAGCUACGAUCUAUCAUCGACUUCGCGACCGUAGACUCGGCUGUCUUGAUCGCUGAAGGACAGUUUGGCAGUGGUUCCAAAUGCGGAUAACCGUGGAGAUCCGGAGCGUCAGAAAGCAGAGGAGCCAUUGCGGCGCAGAAGCACUUUUUUCGAAGGGCGUUGGAGUAUAUGGCGGACGUCGUCUCGGGAAAAGAGGGCGCCAGUUGGCGGUGAGAGAGGAAAAAAGAGAGAGGAAAAGAGGAAGAGAGAAAGAGAUAGAAGGCGCGAGUACAUCGGCCACCGACGUAAUAUCGGCAAACGACGCUACAUGCCGGCCAAAUAUAACGGUAUAACUUUGCCAAAUGAUACCAUUCCUUUAAUUCUUUGGAACGACUUGUCCGGACGUUUCCCCGACGAUAUAUUAAUAACAUCAUGUUCGCUCGCUGUUACCUUAUUAGACUUCCUUUCAAAUUAUCUUUAGGGAAUAAAAUGUAGUCAUUGUUGUUUUGCUCGAUCAUUGUAAAAAUCCGAUUAGUGCUUUGUCUUAUCUCGUGAAUAAUUAUAACCGGUGUAUUUAUUUGAAAACGAGAAAAAGAUUUGGCAAGAGAGUGUACAGUUUUCUUCAUUGCUUAACGAAUUCAUUUCUUUUUCUAUUUUCACAGGCCGCUAACAAGUAUUCUCGUUUUCAUCGAGAUAUAUCGACGUUAGUUUAUUGGAGAAUUUAUUUAAGCGCAUAGCGAUAUACCACCGAGAGAACGCCAUUCAGAUAAAAUCACUCGAUAUUGCUUCCUUACGUUGGAAUUUCUUUGACUUUCGAAUUGGAUCGAGUUAGAUAAGCAGAAAGCGGCUGAUCGAUGCCAGCGGAAUAAAGCGAAUACAGGACUGGUUCCACGAAACUGAUCGCCACUCAUCAGGGAAAUGAUCCUCGAGCCAAAGCUCUUGGCUUUUCUCCAUAAUGGACAGAUGUCCUGUCAUGUUGCCCGGCUUUUUAUUGAGAAAACGGGAAAAGACUAUUCUCGAAAUGUUAUAUUCACCCAAAUGUUUCUUGGAAACUAUCUUAUUAUUAUUGCUUUUUAAGUCAAGGAUCAUUAUUUACGACAUGCUCGUCCAUUUACGUGUAAUAUAUUUUUUUUAUUAUGUUUCCAAGCAACCAUAGUCGGUAAGAUAGUUUUAAAUUCGACAUUUCGAAAAUCCACGGUAGGUUAAAAGAACGGAAACUCGUACUUCCUCCGCGAUAACACGAAAUGAUGACUUUGGAUCGUACCGAUCGCAACGUUGCAAAAAUAUCUCCAGGGCAUGAUUUCGCGUGAUGCCGUGUCGUUCACAUAUCAACGGCCUUUAUCGAUCACGCUUAUCGCUAUGAUUCCCGAGAGUCGAAAGUUUUUCGAUUUUCUACCGUUGCCGGCCGUAAAGGACAUCACUUUCACCUUCGACUUCUUCUUUUUUUCUUUUCGUGUAAAACGAUCCGACUUUUUCUAGAAAAUAAGUUUGAUCGUGAAGGGCGAUUUUAUAGGUCUAUGAGUUUAAAUGUUCGUAAGGGUUUAGGAAGCGGGAAGCGUCACUAUUUAUUUGAAAUAUGAAGGGACCAGAAGCGACAACGUUUAUUUGCCUUACGACCGAAAGAAAUCCCAAAAGCAUUGGAUCGACUGUUGGGUUAACAGCUUCUCUAUCUUUUUCUCUCUCUCUCUCGUCUUUUUAAAGCUAGAAUAUCCGCUCGGAGCUGAAGCAUAUGACGGUAGUCGGCAUAAACGACAGCGACAAUCUUGGCUUAAGAAUAGUCUAUGUAUGUGCGAAGUGGACCGAUAGGCAGGUGUUAUACGCUCGGUAAGAUGGAAGAGCUUGAUGUGAAUAUUAAGAUGUUCAUUAGCACGGAGUGCGCUUUCACAGUGUGAGACAUGUUAAGUAGUGCUACGUGCGGUCAAAGAAGAGGGUGGGGAAGAAAGAGAGAGAGAGAAGAUGUGGUAGGCGAAGCGAAGCUGAGUGUGAAGACGGAAAGAGAAAGAGAGAGCAAGAGAGAAGGAUGAAAAGAGAAGGAAAGAGAGGGGGUGAAGAGGUCUCGUAGAGGGAGUAGUACCAUUGACGGGUGAUGAAGGGUCAUCCCCUGCGGCGGUCUUUGUUAUAUCCAUGACGGUCGGCACGACUAUUUGCUCGAUACAAGGUACCACCAACACUGACACAUCACCAACGGCCUUCCAGCGUCGGCAUCGUCGAAAGAGAAAAAGGGUACGCGCUUUUGGUCUCUUCAACGGAAUUGAUCGAAACAACGCAGACUCGUAUUUACCGUUGUUUGCAACGCUCCGAAAGUAUAAGUGACAGGAAUCGAUGGUCUGUCAAUACUAUUCGACGUAUGACCUGACCGUAUACGUCGGCCAUUGUGCAUACAAGGUUUUAGCAUACUUCCAUUCUCAGAUGGCCUUAUUGAUGUCGUCUUUGAUUUGUUAUAUAUAAAAUUUCACUUAUACGACGAGAUUUCAAAGAAGUAGUGAAAAAAUAAAAAUUAACUAAUAACAUGAACAAGAAACAAUUGACAUAAUAAUUUCACUAAGUUCUUUACACAGGCAUUCAGUUUAGUGCCAUCAAAUUGAUUAAAAAUUCAAAAAAGUAGAUUACACAAAGGUGCAGGUGACUCUUUAGAGACAGGUGUAUGACAUCGCAGAAAAUAUUUGAAGAAGCAAAUUCGCAAAAACCAAAAUUUAUGUAUUUUCGUGGGCGAUCGUGUUGUCAAAUGCGCGCCAUCGAUCCUGAAACUUUCGGUUUGAAACACUUGAGGACGCAGCGUUCGUAGAUUAAUUAAAGCGGAGAUAGAAGCAGACUAUUCAAAUAAAUAUAUUUAAUUUUCGUACUGUCGUUUCUAAGAAAAAAUGAGAACGAGGCUGCAGCAUGUUCUCGGUAGCGAAGGCAUCGUCGAAAGAAGGAGCCAAUGUGAAGGCGUCGUUGAAGGCGAUCCGUGGAAGCGAAUCGAGGCGGAGAGUGGAGAAAAGGAAGGAAGAUGACUGCUCGGUUGAGUAAUGGAUCAAUUUAUUUGCUGGCUUAUGGCACACGAUCAGAUGCUUCAUGACCAUCGAAACGUUCAUUUUUUAUCGUACUAAAUAUCAGGAUGUCGAAAGUUCGAAUCAUAUGGCAGAGAAUAAGGAGGAGAUGGAACAUCGGUGGUUUCGCCACAUCGUAUUUCCAUUCUCGUAAGUUAUAUUUUCGUUACUCCAUAAUUUUAUCGAUUUACACGCGGAGCCGACGUUUCGCAAAUUACCCAUCCGAAUUGUGGCCGAAGGGAGAAACGCGAAAGGAAACGCGCAAUUUUCGUACUGAAUUUGCCUGCCAUGAACUUUCGAGAACGCCGGUUGCACAAGUACACGUGGCACUUUCUGAUAAUAAUAAUCGAUAGUCGAGUUUCACGAUGAUUUCGAUGAUCAAUGAGCCGAAUGUACGUGUAUUUGUAUUCACGAGAUUUGAGAGAGUGGCUGCGGAUGAAAAGUAUGGACGCUUUUUCCUCUCGGUGAAUCGUGAAAAUCACGCUCUCGGUUGCAGUCAGCACCGGGAAUACGUCGCGCGUCGACCCUUUGCUCUCGCUCAGACGGCGUGGCAUAAAUCACACGAAUUUACGAGCAGCGUUAAAAAGAGCAAGCCGAUAUUUAUAGUCGUCUCUGGCGCAGUUACAUAUAACAAAUUGAACUUUUAUAUAAAUGUGCGUUUGUGUAUGUGAGAGACUCUGAAAGAGUGAGUGAGUGAGGGAGUAAGAAACAGAGAGGGGACAGGCGAUCUGUGUGCGCGAACCGCACACAGAUUUUAAUUAUCGAUAUCGAUUUAUUGCCAAUACAUAUUAAUGCCGCCGACAUAGCUAUGCUACGACCAACUCACGUACCGGUGUUUAUUCAUAUUGAUGGAACUAGAUUGAAACAUAAACCGGAUAUGCAAACAACUAUCGGUUUAAUCGUUCGACACUGGCCGAGGAACGUUUACCGCUUUACACUCACGCAGAAAACAUUGAAAAUAGGAUUUAAUUUCGGGGGAUUUUCAUUUACCAUUUAAAGCAACGAACAGGAGUGGAAGGAACAGUAAUGAAAUUGUUACAUAAAAAUGAUUUCUUUAUAUCUCGAAUAAGAUUUAUGUUAUUGAUAAUCGAUAUAGAAAAAAUUACAACUUUUCUAAAGUUUGAUGAUUUAGGAAAUAUUCAAUGAUUGACGACUGAACUGAGAGAAAAAGAGAGACUGAAUUAAAUUUAUUAUCUUAGAAAUAAUAUCUAGACAAUUUUUAUCGAGUUUUUAUGUCUAGUUCUAGACGUAAAAUGUACUCCAAUUGAGCCAACGUUAAAAUGAAUCUGUAUAUAUUUGUAUGUGUAUAUAUCCUGUUGUCGGUUCGUUCGAUAACCGAUAUUUCCUGAAGUCGGACGUAAUCGAUCGACAAUCUAGCUGUCAAAGUGCUUAAUCGCGUACAGUCACGCUAUUAUGCUUCGGUGGUGAUUAUUCACGCUCAUUAAGUAGUCUGGUCAUUCGUUUACUUUUAUGCAAAUUUAUAUUUUACUGUAGCACAGUAAAUGGGUUAGGUACAAAAGUUGAACAGAAAUGUUAUAUCUUGUCAUUAUGCGAAACGAAAUUAUCAUAGCUCGUAAUUAGAUCGUAAUUUUUUUCGAAAGCGAUAAGAUCUGUUAACGUAUAUAUAAAGUGUUUAGGCUUUGAGAAAAACCGGUCAUUUGACACGCGACUAACAUUUCGUCGGCUUUCACUUUGAGAACCGAUAGCAAGAAAAAGAGAGAUGGAUAGAUGAAUAGGUAGACAGAAAACGAGAGGAAAAAGAAAAAAGAAAUAGAACUCGGUAGCGUUAUCCGUCUCGAUAAAUUUCCCGACAGAAUCGUCAUAGACGCCUGACACGAAUUUUUUGCGAUGCAUCGUUAUGGCGGUAGUAGUGGAUAUCGCAACGAAACGCCAGCGGCACCGGUAGGAAAAAUAUUUUAGCAGUCAGAUGAGCGCACGCUCUCGUUGCAACGAUGGGACGAACGAGUUAGGGCAUCGGUCACGAAAAAUGGAGAUUAGAGGAAAAAAAGGAAGUAGAGUAUGAGUGUGAGGUCUCGGAGGUAGAAUCUAAAGGGAGAAGAAGAGAGAAGCAGAGAGUGAGUGAUAUAGAGUAGAGGAAGGGAGAAGGAGAGAGAGAGAGAGAAGAGGUAGGACUGAAAAAUUCCAGGAGAUGGAACGGGUGAAUGAGUGGGUUGAGUGAGUGAAUGACAGGCGGACAGCAACCAGACAGGAGACUGACAGCGCGGCGGCGGGCUGACAGCUUGCCACUCUGCCAUACGUUCGUAACAUCAAGUAUUACGGGCUACCGUACGUGUUGAUCCUCAUCCCGUUCACCGACAAAAAGCGCCCUAACUCCCGGUUUUGCCCUCAUCUUUUGCCAUGAUUUUUGUUUCUUUUGCGAAUCGAGUCAUUUCGUGGUGAUAAUAUCUAAAGAAUGUUAUCAUAACAUUUCUUAAAUUGGUUUUAAUCAUUUUUGGGGAAUCCUGUGGAAUCUUUGAGACUUCUGCACUGUUUCAAUUGAAACGUUUUCCUUUAUACCUUAUGUAUAAAGGAUUUUGGAAAUGUGUAAAUUGUGUACACAAGUGUGUCCAUUCUUUUACGAUUUAUGUAUCUGUGAACAAUAGAUGGAUUCCAAUAGUGAUAUUGUAUCCAAAGAGGAAAUAUUUAAACGUCAAACGGUUAGAAGAAUUUAUGAAAUAAAUCAAACGUUCAAGGCGAGAAAUAAGCCAUCGGUAUAUCUUCAAAGCAUACAUCGAGAUGAAUGAUAUUUUAUAUACAUGCAACACGUUAUGAUCUUGUCCGGAUAAGUUAGGAAAUGUUGAUGGACAUUGAAUGGCCAACAUUGACUUUGAACGUAGCUAUAUCUGUAUGUUUUCUUGUAUGCUAAAGGUGCCAAAUUUUUGGUAUUGACAAGUUUUGCGAUGUAAAACCUUUAAUGCAACUACCGUUGGUAUAAAUUAGUGUGUUAUAGGAACAUUGUCGUUGCUAGAACGUCAAACGGAAGCUAAUGUACUGUUGGAGCAUUGUCUACGUGCGGUUUGCUUAUUGAAUAUCUGCUACGUGGUUUGCCAACGUGUAACGUUUGAGUUAGAGUGUGCCCUUGUGCCACGUUAAUUAUGUUAAACACGAAAAUCGAUUAAUCGACAGGUAAUUUUGCAAGGCAUCUUGGAAAAGUGAGUUUAAUAUGAUGUUUUGCCAGGUAUCUUUUUUAACAGUUAAUUUUAGCAAUUUGAAAUAUUGAUUAAUUUUGUAUUUAGAUACAUCAAUAAGUAAAUAUACUUUUCAUUUGAUAUAGCGAGUAUAUGUAAUCUAAAUUGAAUGAUACUUUCGUGUCUCAUUAAUUCAAUAAAAAUACGUUUGAAAUAUUUGUUAUUGUAUUACAGUUUUCUAAGAACGGAAUUGAUAUUUAAUAUUUGAAAGAAAUGUAUACAUUCAGUUUGCGGAUGCUACCUUUUUCAACAAUAUGCUAUCAAUGUUCUUUUUAAUUUAUAUCAUUGGUCGUUAAGUUAAUUUUAAGGAAAUUACACCAUCGAGGAGUUAACGACAAUUUGCUGAUCGAUGUCUAUCAAAGUAUCAUUGUAAUACGAUAUCUCGUUGAAAUACGAUCGUGGAAAUACUCAUGAGUUAGUUAGCCUUUCUUAUCAGAAGAUCACGUUUAAUGCACAGUUAUUAUCGUAUAGUAAGGAUGACAGUUCCGAGAAAUAAAGAUUAUUGGCAAAAACAAACCUAUCUACCAUAUACUUAUAUAUAUAUACUACAAAUUAAGUAUAAUUUCAACGGAUGUAACAACACUUUACUUUGUAAUUGUGUAAUUGUAACGUAAUUGUUGGGGCCCUGAGAGUGUUGUGUCACUCUUGUGAAAUUGUACUUAAAUUACGUCUGUGUACAAGGUUUUGACGAAUAUCAUUUCAGUGUUUUUGACGAUGUUAAUUAUAUAUCUAUGUAAGAUAAGUUCAUAUUUUAGCUGACGCAGAAGAUUAUUCAUGUAUCAUAAACAACUUAUCAAUUCUCGGGUACAUAUAUCUUUUCUGUAGAACACCAGUAUAAAAUUUAUUUAUAAUAUAUAUUGGUAAAAAAAUUCGAAUUUUCGAAUACUUUAAAAACGAUUGAUAAAAUCGGAAAAAAUACUUUUUUAGAGAAAUACAGUAACAUAUGAAGGUUCGAGGACAUUCGUAAAAGUGCUGUGACACACAGAGUUCUCGUAUCGGCACUUGUGCUAUCUGUUAGGAAAAUUCAUGCCAUUUGAUCGUUGUCGCUUAACAACAGAGAAUGAAAGAAGAGUACAAGAGCGAGGACAGAAUAAAGCGACAAGCGGACAAGUUACAAAAUGUUUUGCGGCUUUUCUCUUCCCUUCAUUCUUUUUGUUUCUUCUCUUUUUUUUUCAUUUUUACUGUCUUUGUCCGUCUUUCUCUCUACCUCUAUCGAUCUUCUUUCUUUUCGUUUGUCUCUACUUCUCUCUUUAUUUCGUAUCUUUGUAUCUUUUUCUUCCCCCUGCUCUUUCUCUUUCGUUUGCUGUCUUUAUCUGUCUCCUUUCCAUUCUCUCUUUUCCACUCAUUCUACCCUUCCUCACUCCCCGCCGGGCAGGUGAGCAGUGAAACCGAAGUGCGGGUUACCAUUAUGUCUGCAGCCUUGAAUUAAAAUGCCAUAUAAUGACACAGCUAGGCAGCCUGUAUAAUUUAUGUCC